UCCAGGAGUGAUAGCACGUUAAAUGCACCAGAUCCCAAUGGAUCACUGAUGUUAAGCACGUUGCUUGUGGUUGGCAUCCAAAUGGGUGACUAUUUGGGUAAUUGUGUGCUGUUGGGU
rfam:Asian citrus Psyllid, Diaphorina citri - Florida Strain, whole genome shotgun sequence.